rnacentral:misc_RNA from 1 species
GCCAAUGAAAAAGCUGAAGCAGAGAAGAUAUUGCAGAUUAAGCGAGCUGAGGGAGAUGCAGAGUCAAAAUAUCUGGCAGGUCUUGGUAUAGCUAGGNCGCCAGGCCAUUGUAGAUGGGCUGAGAGACAGUGUUCUAGCUUUCUCUGUGAAUGUUCCAGGGACAACUUCAAAGGAUGUUAUGGACAUGGUUCUAGUGACCCAAUACUUCGACACCAUGAAGGAGAUUGGUGCAUCCUCAAAGUCCAACUCUGUGUUCAUCCCUCAUGGACCUGGUGCCGUAAGAGACAUUGCCAGCCAGAUCAGGGAUGGUCUUCUUCAGGCCAA